CUCACAUGUCUUUUUCCUUUGCUCCCUUUUCUAGCAGAAGUGCCGCGGUUGCAAAGGGAACACAUGUCCUCAAGCUGUUUGCCCCAAACCUCACAAUUAAAUGACAUUUCUAAAAUGGAUCCCACAGCACAGACGUUUUCAAGCAGGAAAUGGGCAGAACAGGAGGCCACAGGACAUGAUCUUCUCCGGAGAGUGCGCAGUCUUCGCCAGAGACUCACCGCCCAGGCUCGCAGCAGGUGUCGGGACCCUCAUCUUUUGGUGACUUAGAAGCCAUUUCACCGUGAAACAAUCAAAGAGAUACCUUUUUUAAAUCAAUGACACUGAUUUUUCAAUUAUUUAUUCUAAAUUUUUAUAAAGGUCACCUUUUGUAUAGAGAAAUAUGUCUAUAAAAUUAUGUUUUCUAUUGAAUUUUAAUGCUUUUGGCAUGUAAAGGGCUUCCGGAAUGUUCCCCAGUAAAGGUGUUUGGAAGCUAUUAAA